rnacentral:misc_RNA from 1 species
GGGUAAUAGAAUAUAGUGAAAUAGACAUUUAAUAGAAAAAUAGACUGAAAAUUUCAUUACGCUCCCAUACAAUCCACCCAGAAUGAAAUUAAUAUCUAUCCAAAAUGUUUGGGCUGAUUUUUGCAGAUAAUUGCUAGUGCAAUAGCCAUUGGAGUCAUCCUUCACGCAGGAAACCAUUUACUUUGUGACUUUCCCCGUCUGAUAUACUCGUCUCCGGAGAAAUUUUCCUUGAUAGCAUCUGAUUUCCAUAACAAGAAGCCCACAUAUGAAUAUCUACUGACUGGUGUUGAAGGUGUUACUGGGAUUGCUAUGGUGGUACUAAUGGUCAUAGCAUUCACGCUAGCAACAAGCCAGUUCCGAAGGAAUGUGGUCAAACUGCCAGCGCCCUUCAACAGAUUGACAGGUUUCAAUGCAUUCUGGUACUCUCAUCAUCUUCUUGGUCUCGUCUAUGUUUUGCUGCUUGUCCAUGGGACCUUCCUAUUCUUAGCCCACAAUUGGAGUCAGAAAACAGUAAGAACUUUGGUUUCAUACUCUAUUAUGAGUAUGGUACAAGAAUCAAUAACCCGAAACUAAAAUUGAGUGCAUUUUCAAUGUUUCAGACGUGGCUGUAUGUCUCUGCUCCCCUGUUACUCUAUGUUGCAGAACGGAGUGUGCGAACAUGUAGGUCAGAGCAUUACUCGGUAAAAAUAUUGAAGGUAUAUAUAAAUUACUUGAUUCCUAGUAUUGCCAGAUGGUUUAUUCAUUUGCAAGAAUGAAAACCUAUCAUAGUCUAAUAUGAGCUAUUUGAUCUCCGUAGGUAUCUGUUCUACCAGGAAAUGUCUUCAGCUUAAUCAUGUCCAAGCCACAAGGAUUCAAGUACAAAAGUGGGCAGUACAUAUUUCUACAAUGUCCUGCAAUUUCUUCCUUUGAAUGGUGAGAAUUCUGAAAGAAAGUCAUCUUCUUUUCAAGGCCUUUACAUUGUAUUUGAUACAAUCAUCAUUAUGAAAUCUCGAAGCUUUUCUGCACAAAAGUAACCACUUAUCCUUCGCAGGCACCCGUUUUCAAUAACCUCGGCACCAGGAGAUGACUAUCUCAGUGUUCACAUUCGGAUAGUGGGAGAUUGGACACAGGAGUUGAAGAAAGUUUUCACCGAGGUAAAUGAUUCACCAUCUGUUAUUGGUCGAGCCAUGUUUGGUCAACUUGGACAUGUGGAUCAAAGAGGGUAAUUACAUGCUAAUAAACUUAACAGUCUUGUAUUUGUUUUCAAAUAAUCAAUGGAAAUUUUCUAAGUAAAAAUUGUAAACUGAUGCAGCCAACCGAAACUAUGUGUUGAUGGUCCAUAUGGGGCUCCAGCGCAAGACUAUCAAAAUUACGAUGUCUUGCUCCUCGUGGGACUCGGAAUUGGAGCUACACCUUUCAUAAGCAUCCUUAGAGAUCUUUUAAAUAACACGAGAGCAGCAGAUUAUCAAACAGUAAGUUUCACUCUCUAAAAUGAUACCUUUCGAAAUUCCUAGUUUUACUACAUAGACCUUAAUUGAUUUCCAUAUGUUAAUGGCCUAGGAUUACACUGAAACCAGUAGAUCAGACGACAGCUCAAACAGUUGUGCAUCUUCAACCGUGACACCAGGUAGCAAAAGGAAAACGCACAGAACUACAAAUGCUCAUUUCUACUGGGUUACAAGAGAACCCGGGUCAUUUGAAUGGUUUAAAGGAGUCAUGGAUGAUGUUGCAGACAUGGAUCACAAGGUAAAAUGUAAAAAUUUAUAUCAAUGUUUGAUAUUGUUGAAUUCAAGAUAAGCUGCAAAAGUGAGGAGUCAUUCUUUUCUUCUCUCUUGCUUUCUACACUAUGAAACAGGGUCAAAUUGAACUGCAUAAUUACCUUACAAGUGUUUACGAAGAAGGUGAUGCAAGGUCAACUUUGAUCACCAUGGUCCAAGCUCUCAACCAUGCCAAACAUGGUGUUGACAUCCUUUCUGGCACUCGAGUAUGAUUUCCCAUAAAAGUCCAGUUUUACAUUGUUAGAAUCAAUAACCGAGAAAACAAUAUUGAGGGCACCGCAGCAGAAAAGAGAGAGAGAGUUUUACCUUUUCCUUAUGAUAGGAUUAAUGCAUCUGAGAUAUAUCUCCCUGAUCAACUUUGCUUUAUUGCAGGUAAGGACACACUUUGCUAGGCCAAAUUGGAAAGAAGUGUUCACAAAAGUAGCUAAAAAGCAUCCAUUUGCCACAGUAGGUAAAGAAAAACAUAAAAUUAUCAAAGACUACCUGCAUUUGUUGAUUAGCAUAGCAAAAUUCAUCAAAUAAAAAACGAUGACAUUAUCAAUCAUCUAGCAAUCUCUGGGUGAAAAGACAAGUUUAACAUAAUGGAGGCUUAUGAAAAUUGCAGGAGUAUUCUAUUGCGGGAUGCCAGUGUUGGCAAAGGAGCUGAAGAAACUAUGUCAAGAGCUGAGUCACAAGACAUCCACAAGGUUCGAGUUCCACAAGGAACAUUUCUGAAACAAGAGGGAAAAUUAUUUCAAAUGUCAAGCUGCUGUUAUUAUUUUGUAAUUAUUAAAAUAAUUGAGAUAAAAAAAUAUAUAUACAUGCACACAUCUUAUAUUUGUAGCACAACUAAAUGUAAAUGCUUUUAUACACCAUUCAUCCAACAAUCCAGUCCAACAUGAUGGACAAUGGAGAACUUCAAAAUGCACGCAAAGAAAAGAAAAGGGAAUUUUAUAGAAUUUCAGUUUUUGAACAUUUUCUGUGUUCCAUCUUGACAACGGACAGCUAUUUGUUUGUGUAUCAGCCCAAGCCAAAGGUUGUACUGAUAAGGUCAUUUAGAUUAUUUAUAGAAAUGAGCUAUCCAUAGGGACCAUGGCAGCUAUUGAUAUUAAACUAUUUCCAACUCCAAAGGAGAAAGGAUCUUAUGUUGGCUUUGGUGAUGUGCCCCUAAGCCUCUGGAGCUGCAGACAAUUUCCCUAUUUGAAUCUCAUUAAGUGUGUGCAAUG